GCGGGGGUUGCCAAGCCAGGUCAAAGGCGCAGGCCUGAGGCGCCUGUCUUCUAGAAGUUCGUGGGUUCAAAUCCCACUCCCCGCACCA
rnacentral:tRNA from 1 species